AGGGCUGUAGCUCAGGGGUAGAACUUCUGCUUAGUAUGCAGAAACAUCCCAGAUUCAAUCCCAGCAGCUCCA